rnacentral:rRNA from 1 species
AGAGUUUGAUCAUGGCUCAGGAUGAACGCUGGCGGCGUGCUUAACACAUGCAAGUCGAACGGAGCGCCCCGGAACGAUUCUCCGGAAGAGGGAAAGGGUGACUUAGUGGCGGACGGGUGAGUAACGCGUGGGUAACCUGCCCUGCACAGGGGGAUAACAGUUGGAAACGACCGCUAAUACCGCAUAAGCCGACGAAGCCGCAUGGCUUAGCCGGAAAAGAAAUAUCGGUGCAGGAUGGACCCGCGUCUGAUUAGCCAGUUGGCAGGGUAACGGCCUACCAAAGCGACGAUCAGUAGCCGGCCUGAGAGGGUGAACGGCCACAUUGGGACUGAGACACGGCCCAAACUCCUACGGGAGGCAGCAGUGGGGAAUAUUGCACAAUGGGGGGAACCCUGAUGCAGCGACGCCGCGUGGGUGAAGAAGUAUUUCGGUAUGUAAAGCCCUAUCAGCAGGGAAGAAGAUGACGGUACCUGACUAAGAAGCCCCGGCUAACUACGUGCCAGCAGCCGCGGUAAUACGUAGGGGGCAAGCGUUAUCCGGAUUUACUGGGUGUAAAGGGAGCGUAGACGGCAUUGCAAGUCAGAAGUGAAAGCUCGGGGCCCAACCCCGGAACUGCUUUUGAAACUGCGGAGCUGGAGUACUGGAGAGGUAAGCGGAAUUCCUGGUGUAGCGGUGAAAUGCGUAGAUAUCAGAGGAACACCAGUGGCGAAAGCGGCUUACUGGACAGAAACUGACGUUGAGGCUCGAAAGCGUGGGGAGCAAACAGGAUUAGAUACCCUGGUAGUCCACGCCGUAACGAU